GCAUCAAUGGGGUAGUGGUAACCUGGGUCGUUGCCAUUGCGAAAAAGUAACAGUUCUCGACCCGCCGGGGGUUCAAUUCCCCCUUGAUGCA